AAUAAUAUUCUCGACUUCUCAUUUAUAUCCUUGUUUUAAUUCUUAUUCUAAUUCCCUUUUUUUAAUUCCAGGAACUUUUAAAGUCUACUUUAUCUCCCAUUACGGUCCAUUACGAGAAUCUCCAUAUAAAAUCGCGACUCUCAUAGGAGUGGGAACAAUUUGAUGGUGGCUUCUCUUCUGGCAGAUUCAUUUGGUGUGAUUGUUGAUGUGAUUUGAUGAUUGAUGAGGUGAUUGAGGUGAUCGAGCGAGGGUGGAUUGUAAGAAAUUGAAAUGAUUUAUUUUGUAGAAUAAUCGAUAUAUUUGUAUUUUGUAUUUAAUAUAUUUUGUGUAUUUUUUUUUUUUUUUUUAGAUGUAUCGUUGAUAUGCCUUAGAGGAGUGUUUGAAUGAUAGAUUGGGGUGAAUUAAAAUUGAAAGUUGAAAAUGUAAUGAUAGUGACAAUAUGUGACAAUAUGUGACAAUAUGUUGAUAAUUUUUUUUGUAAAGUAAUUUGAUCUGAAUAUUGUGGUUGGAGAAUAUAUGGCUUAAUGUAACACGUUGACUGUACACAAAAGAAGAUAGACAUUUUUACGCAAUAUAUUGGAUUUUAUUGAGCAAUUUUUUAAAAUUAUUAAUUUUAAAUUACUCUCAAUGGAGUGUUAAAAUCGUUAGAAGUCUUCAGUUAACAGUCAACAUUGUUAACAUUGAUCUAAAUCAACGGUGUGAUGUAAUUUGACAUGGAUAUUUUUUCAUCCCGACAAGAACCGAAAUAGAAAAUAAUUUCAGAAGCAUUCAUUGUACUUAAUCAUUGAUAUAUUUAAAAAUUUCUUCACAUUGACACCAUUAUUUAUCCUCCUUAAGGAGUUCGAAAAAAACAUUCGUGAAAAAAAAAAAAAAUUUCGAGACCACAAAAGAAAAAUAAAAUAUUUCCCGCUUCUCCACGGAACCACAGUGUUUCUUCUUGCAUCGUUCGAUUCCAUAUCGAUGGAAUCGUGGGAUUCUUCGUCCAUUCACACGUAUAAUACACGUAAUGUACACACACUUCGUUCUUACAUCCUCCGGCACUCGAGAUUCUUAGGCCAGCCUCGGCUAUUCAUCGAUCACGAUGAAAGGGGAAAUGAAAAGAAAAAGGAAAAAAAAAAAAAAAAAAGGCGAGAGAAAAACGCGAUCAA